UUUUUUUUUUUUUUCUUUUUAGGGCCGCACCCUUGGCAUAGGGAGGUUUCCAGGCUAGAGGUCAAAUCAGAGCUGCAGUCGCCAGCCUACACUACUGCCACAGCAAUGUGGGAUCCAAGCCUUGUCUGCAACCUAUACCAUGGCAAACGGCACUGCUGGAUCCUUAACCCAUUGAGCAAGGCCAGGGAUCGAACCCUUAUCCUUACUGAUCCUAGUUGGGUUCAUUAACUGCUGAGCCAAAACCGAAGGGAACUCCUAAAAAUUCUGAUUAUUGAAAUAAUGCCUGCUCAUUGUAAAAAAUUCACUAAAACAGAAAAAUGGAGGAGAAAAAUUACUGAUAAUCUUAUAAUUAUCCAGAGUAUCUACUGUUAUCCUUUGAUAUAUUACCUUCCAUCUUUUUUCUAAGUGUAAAAAUGCAUAGUUUUGAAACAAAAAGUGAUCAUAUUAAACCUAUUGCUUGAACAGAGCGCUUUCUUCAGUAGGGUCCGUAUUUGCAAACGUAGUCUGCAUCAGAGGUUCCUCCUGGUGGCUCGUCCUCAUCCAGCUCAUAGGCAUGUUUUGUUUAGUUUGCAGAGUUAAAUCUAGCCAACUUAAAAAAACAAAAACAAAAACAUGGUAUCUUACAGAAAAGUCACAUUCUCCUGCUUUGGAAAAUCUGAAGCUCUGGUCACACUGGGCCUGCGUUCCAAGAAGCCAGUGACUGGUUGGCACUGAAGAGUGUUUUAUAUCGCAUUCCUGGCCCAUGUAGAUCCCUGGUCUAACUGCAGCUGGUAAUAGGUAUGGAGCAUUUUCUGGCGGUUCUCAACUAGAAUAAACACUCUGAGAGCAGGGCUAGUCUACUUUAUCUUUUAACCUUUAGACCCUCAGCCCUUCCCACUUACUUAGAUCUGAAUAAUUAUGUGACAUAGAUAUGUGACUGAAAGGACUCAUUGGUGACAUUUCACAUAUUCACAUCACUCUAGGAGUGUGUGGAGGGUUCGGGAAACCUGACCUUCACUCCAGAGCCUUGGGGUUCUUCUGUCCCUUGCAGUGGCUCCCACAGCUGGACCCAAAGUGGGGCUCCAGCCACCCUGGUAACUUUGGGGCAUCUGGCCUCUUUCUUCCUGGAAGAAACUGACAAGCUUUCCAAAGGUAAAAUAUAUAGUAAUUCCUUCACUUCCCAACCAAAGGCAGCCAACUCUCAAGUGAAAGAUGACAGGUCUUGAAUAGCACCAGUAAGCCUUUCAAAACAUCCAGCGCUGGAAGAGAGCAAAGGAGAAGUCUGUCAUCAUCUCCCCGUGGUGGCCCUUGCUUUUGUGUUUCUCUUCGCUGCCUUUUCAGCACUGCGAGUAUUUUCUAGGCGCCAUGGGGUGCACUCAGCAUGAGUUCCUCGUGGGUGCUGGCGCUUAUAUUAGAAGCUGGAUUUCGGGGACAGCUGGAAUGCUUCCUGGCGGCUCCACCCUGCGGGCUGCACGUGAGGCCCAACCGCAAGACGUGAGGCCAGGCCCCUUUAAUCCCACACCAGAGCCUCGGCUUCCAAAACCUGAUCCUCCAAAAUUUGGACUUAUAUAACUUAUUUGUUUAUUUUGAAGCCAGCCCCGUCCAAGUUGAGAACACUUAAGACGCCCUUUUAGAGGAAAUUUGGAACCCAGCAUUAUCAUUAACUAAAUCAGCAAGCAACGGGUCUGUAAAAAAUACCAGGCAGCGCAGUUCUGAGGACUUUUAUUGUCAUGUUCCUGGUGGAAUUACAUCGUGGGGUGGUUUCUCUGAAAAUCAUCCCAAGGCUUUGCUCUCUCUGCCUCUCCCUCUGUCUUGUUCUUGCUCUCAUUCUGGCUCUCUGGCUCUCCCUAGGAAAACCAUGGCUUGGGUCUAAGCGGUCGGUCGGAGGGUGGUGGCUGCCACUUUCUGCUGUGUAGGAGCCCCUUUCCUUUGGCAAGGGCCCGGGUCAUCCUUGUUCUGUGCUCCACCACAGUGGCUCUCCUGCUAGCUUAGUUGGUGGGGCCUCUGGAAGACCUAGUGCUCUCUGUACAACAUGGUAAAGCAGAAAACAAUACAUGACACCUAUCGCUGCGUCAGUUUGGAUGCCACUUUUUUUUUUUUUUUUUUUUUUUUUUCUUUUUACAGCUGCUUCUGCAGCAUAUGGAAGGUCCCAGGCUAGGGGUCAAAUUGGAGCUGCAGCUGCCGGCCUACACCACAGCAACUGCCACACCAAUGCCAGAUCCAAGCCACAUGGGCAACCUACACUGCAGCUCACAGGAACGCUGGAUCCUUAACCCACUGAUAUCAGGGAUUAAACCCGCCUCCUCGCCGACCCUGUGUUGGUGUUCUUAGCCUGCUGAGCCACAAUGGCAAUGCUGGAUGCCAUUUUAUAUCAGAUUCUAGACCUGAGGGAACAGGUGCCAGGGUCUGCUAAAAAUGCAUGUGACAGGGAUGUUCACUGCUAUGCUAUUUCUAUUAGGGACAACACUGGAAACUCUAAAUGUUUAGCAAGAGGAGAAUAAUUAAAUAAACUAUGGCCAUUUUCAAUGCAGCCCUUAGAGAGUCAUCAGAACUUCUAAAGAUCCUUUGGAGAGUCUUUCACAGUGUUGAGAGAAGUAGCUACAAUUUGUUAGGUUAGAAAAGGAGGAAAGCAAGUCACAGAUGAAGUAGGAGGCCAGUUACAUUUAUAAUACAGUCAGAGAUCCUUAGAAAAUACACCACAAUUUUAGGACAAGUUAUAGCUCUACAUGACGAAAGUAUGGGUAGUUUUGAUUGUUUCUUUAUACUUUUCAGCAUUUUCUUUUAUUUUUUUUUCUCUUUAUGAAAAAGGAGCCACACCACAGCCACAGCCACAGCCACAGCAACACUGGACCAAAGCUGCAUCUGCGACCUAUGCCCGCAGCUAACCACAAGGCUGGAUCCUUAGCUCCCUGAGUGAGGCAAGGGAUUGAACCCACAUCUUCAUGAAUAUUAGUUGGGUUUAUAACUUGCUGAGCCACAACGGGAACUCCCACAUUUUCUUUCAAUACUAUUUUUUGGGGGCCCUGACUACCCUCUAUCCACCCAAGUCUCCUCCCGUGAGAGGAAAAGGCUGGGCCUUACAAAGAGGAAGGUUUGAUGGAUGAGGGUUCAAUCCCUGGCUCCACUCAGUGGGUUAAGGAUCUGUCAUUGUUGUCACUGUGGUGAAGGCUGGCAGCUGAAGCUUUGAUUUGACCCCUAGCCUGGGAACUUCCAUAUACCGUGAGUGCAGCCCU
rnacentral:lncRNA from 1 species